AGAGUUUGAUCAUGGCUCAGAUUGAACGCUGGCGGCAUGCUUUACACAUGCAAGUCGAACGGGGUGAGGGGGCAACUCCUCAUCUAGUGGCGAACGGGUGAGUAAUGCAUCGGAACGUGUCCCGUAGUGGGGGAUAACCCGGCGAAAGCCGGACUAAUACCGCAUAUGCUCUACGGAGGAAAGUGGGGGAUCCGCAAGGACCUUACGCUAUGGGAGCGGCCGAUGUCCGAUUAGCUUGUUGGUGGGGUAAUGGCCUACCAAGGCGACGAUCGGUAGCUGGUCUGAGAGGAUGAUCAGCCACACUGGGACUGAGACACGGCCCAGACUCCUACGGGAGGCAGCAGUGGGGAAUUUUGGACAAUGGGGGCAACCCUGAUCCAGCCAUGCCGCGUGCGGGAAGAAGGCCUUCGGGUUGUAAACCGCUUUUAGUCGGGAAGAAAAGGUACGGGUGAAUACCCCGUGCUUUUGACGGUACCGGCGGAAUAAGCACCGGCUAACUACGUGCCAGCAGCCGCGGUAAUACGUAGGGUGCGAGCGUUAAUCGGAAUUACUGGGCGUAAAGCGUGCGCAGGCGGUUCGUUAAGUUCGAUGUGAAAGCCCCGGGCUCAACCUGGGAAUGGCAUUGGAAACUGGCGGACUCGAGUGUGGCAGAGGGGGGUGGAAUUCCGCGUAGCAGUGAAAUGCGUAGAGAUGCGGAGGAACACCGAUGGCGAAGGCAGCCCCCUGGGCUAACACUGACGCUCAGGCACGAAAGCGUGGGGAGCAAACAGGAUUAGAUACCCUAGUAGUCC
rnacentral:rRNA from 1 species